rfam:Picea glauca, whole genome shotgun sequence.
UGCACAAGUAUUGAAGGAAGUUGUAGUUACCAGUUUUCAGAAGAAGGAAGAGAGAGAGGCGCAUUGAUUAGGAGAGUAUAUUCUCUAGUGUUUGUUUUAUUGUCUUGGCAUUGUAUUGUCUAUCUAUAUUAAGGAAGUUUUUGCUGGGUUUUCUUCCCCAUGAGGGUUUCCGAGGAUAAAUGUUGUGUAUCUUGUGAUUUUUUUUCUCUCAGUGAUCCUAUCUAUGUUGUGCUUAUCUAGUAAACUGAAAAGAAACCUAAUAAUAGCUUACACCUUAACACUUGUAGAUUCUAACACAAUGUGAUUUAUGCCUAGUGCUCUGCAUAUCAAAGUGAAGAAAUUCAACCAAGCGUGAGUAAAUGAUGGGAGUAACUAUGACUCUCUUAAGGUAGUCAGAUGCCUCUAUGUCAACUAAUUAGUGAUGCACAUGAAUGGAUUAACGAGAUUCUCACUGUCCCAAGCUAUUAUCUAGAGAAACCACAGCCAAGGGAAUGAGCUUGG